UAAACGUGUCACUAUAGGGGAAUUCUGAACAAGUAUCGUGGUGAGAUGAACAGCUGGUAGUAAUACAUGCUAACCCUAGCUCCAUGUCAACAGUAGACACAUGCUAACCCUAGCUUGACACUAACACACUGACACCUUACACAUUGACACUUAAACCUGAACUUGAUGGAGGAACAACAACUCACCAGUGAAGAGCGGAACACUAGAUACGCCACGCCCCUCUCAGCCGCGGCACACGGAGCCGCCGUCUUGUGUGGGUCGAGUAGGUAGGUACUGUCAGACAGCCAUAGAUAUAUGUGUUCACAACUCAAAAAAAACAACAAUGCCAGUUCAUUGUACUGCUUUCGGGUGUGUACACCAUUGUUCAGUACACACCAGACCAGAGGGAAUUACUUUCCACAGGUGAGAUACAUUUUUUUAAGUAAAUGUUUUAGUCAUCAUUAGCUAUCAGGCGAUGUUUUUUUUCGUCUGACAGACAGACAGACAGACUUAUAGACGGUUAGGCCGAGAGAUCUUUAUUUUAUAAUUUUACUGUUUGACUUCAAAGUGCAAUGCAUUUAGGCAUGUGCACCUGGACAGGACAACUUAUUGAAGUUAAAUCCGAGCAACGGAAUGGGGUUUGAAAGGGGGUUUAAGUGACUUUGAACAUGGCGUGGUUCAUGGUGCCAGACGGGCUUGUCUAAGUAGUUCAGAAACUGCUGAGCUACUGGGAUUUUCACUCACAACCAUCUCUUAGGUUUACAGAGAAUGGUAGCAAGACAAAGCUGUCCCAUUUGACCAGAGGGAACAGCGGGAACUACGGAAUAACGGUGGGCUGAUGAUUCCUUCAAAAGGAACUGUAAAGGUGGUGAGAGCUGCGGAGAGGGCAAUACGUCAACACUCUCCAGGGAAAGCCCCUGAUGAGGUUGUUGUAGCCCACUUUGUCAGAGAGGAAAUCGGGACAGAGGACGUCUUUGCACUGGGGAGCCAUGUCCAAGAAAGCCAGUUUGGCAUUGACAAUCACCUGUCCCUCCUGUCGCUGGUUGUGUCUGUCUUUAUGCGAAUGCGGCUGCAUCAUAUCGUCAAAUUAACCUCGCUUACCUGGCAGAGAGGAAAUUCCUGAAAAAAACACUGAAAAACCAUCCUGUUUCAAGGAUUUUGAAAACGACGUGUGUGUGUGUGUGUGUGUGUGUGUGUGUGUGUGUGUGUGUGUGUGUGUGUGUGUGUGUGUGUGUGUGUGUGUGUGUGUGUGUGUGUGUGUGUGUGUGUGUGUGUGUGUGUGUGUGGUACUAAAUGUAUAAUUGUAAACACUGUACCAAACUACAAGGAUUGUAUGAAGUGUAAAUAUAGUACAUCAAAUUAUAAAAAUAGACAUGUGUGUGUAUAUAGAUAUAUGGAUUGUAUAAAUAUAUAAAUUAUAAAAUAUAUAGUAUCUUAAGUUGUAUAUGUAUGGAUUGUAAAUAUCAAUUAUAGUAUCAGAAAUAAAUUAAAUUGUGUAUAGAUAUAUAAAAAUAUGAGGAACACAGGAAGUUAAUUUAUUAAAUAUUUAUUAUUGUGCUUUUCUUUUUGUUUUGUAUUUUUCAGGUUCCAUUUGUCUGAAAUAAAUUCAAUCAAUAGUU